UACGAGAGGCCCAAACGUUAUUCGGAUUUACUGGGCUUAAAGAGUUCGUAGGCGGCUUGGAAAGUGGGGUGUGAAAGCCCUCGGCUCAACCGAGGAAUUGCGCUCCAAACUACCGAGCUUGAGGAAGCUAGAGGUGAGCAGAACUGAUGGUGGAGCGGUGAAAUGCGUUGAUAUCAUCAGGAAUACCGGAGGCGAAGGCGGCUCACUGGGACUUUUCUGACGCUGAGGAACGAAAGAUAGGGGAGCAAACGGG
rnacentral:rRNA from 1 species